CAUCGCAUCACCGCAGGCAUCUCCAUCCUGCCACCAUGGGUAUCCCAAUCCUGCCACCAUGGGCAUCCCAGUCCCACUGCCACAGGCAUUUGUAUCCCACCAUCAUGAGCAUCCUCCUACAGCACCGAUGCUUCCCACCUCCCUCCUCACUGUGGUUUCCCUGGAGGGUUCAGGCUCAGGGUAUGAUAAUAUACCUGAGGUCUGCAAAGCAUUAAAGCAUAUUGUCAGAUAUAUGAGCUCAUGGGGGAAGCAGGCCAGACACAUUUGUUACUGGGAGAGAAACUGCUUCUUGCCCUGACCCACGUCUAACUUUCUUUGUCUUUAUUGUUAUCUAUCAACACCUUCCUUACUCAUUUUGAAUAGUUACUUAGUUCCUGUCCUUGAUCACCUUCUCCCCAGUAUCCUCAGCAGCUGCUUGUAGGACCUGGCAUAUCAGGGAGAAAGGGAAAUCUUUCUCAAAAGAAUCUGUUCUCUCUCUUUAUUCCACAUUAAGAACUAACAGCUAUUUCCAGGUAAAUCAGUUCACCUUGUCAUCAGUGGAGAUUUUGGCAAAAACUGAAGAUCUCUCUGGUUUUAAUUGUUUCUUUGAAGGAAAUCACCUUAUGAAAAUUGAGGCCAGGCUUCUGUAGGAAACUAGAAGGGGCUCAGUGCAGUGAGGUUCUGCCUGGUUUUGUUGAAAUAGGGGCAGAGCUAUUUUUCUGCACAGUUGCUGUGGUUCAGAGACCUCAAAAGACAUCCAAGUUUGGUCUCUUGCUGGCAUCUAAUCCAUGAGUUGGUGAAGCUUUUCCUCCCCACUGGGGUGAUGUUCCCAUCAGAUUCUCUGUUGAGUUCCCAUAGACAAAAUGUUGGAUCGCUCAAAAUACUUGAAAAGUAAAGGAGAUGCUCGCACCUCUGGGACUGCAGCAAUGGCCAGAUAUGGAGAAGGAUGCAAACCUCUUUGAGUGAGAGUUUCAUGACUGUGAAGCUAUGGAGAAAAACAGCAAGAAAGCAAAAAAACCCAACCCCUACCGUUUUCCUCCAUGAAAUGAAGGAAAUGCAGUCAGACAACAACAGACAUCAGCUCAGGGGUAUAAAGUUAUCACAAAGAUAGCUGUGGGAAUUGAUUAAUUGCUCAGAUUUAAGUCACUCCUGUCCUUUUGGAGAUGUCAUGUCUUCUUUACUCUUUUCCCUUCCCUCAUUCCUGCCUGCUGCAUUUCUCUUUCCUAAUUUUAAGGGGGAUUGAGCACAGCAAAGGGAGGAAAGGGGCAAAGGCAGAAAGCUAUUGGGGGUGCAAAGGUUAAUCUUCUAAUGAAGUUGGCUAAUGGGAAAGACACAUUGGAGAAGAUCGCUCGAUGGCAAUUUAAAGGCAAUUUCAAAAGCCAAUUAAAGCUUUUUCCAACUCUUUCACCCGUGACUCUUUUAAAUGCUUUUCCGAACUUUGCUUGCUUGAAUUUGGCUUUCAUGGCAGGAAAACAGACUAAAACCAGAGAGACUGUCCAGAAAAUGAGGCUGUGCUCACCAAUGCAAUGUGUGUUUUGACACUGGCUCUUGCAGUAACUCAUCCUCCACCUGGGGCCUUGACAAGAUAACCCAAUAGAUAAAGUCUUCAGAAAAUAACAAUAAAGACCAAGGAAGAGGAGCCUUCCUGCUUCAUAGCCAUCUCUUCCCUUCCUUGUUGGGACCCAAAGGAUGGGAUUAUCUCAGCAUGUCCUGAAGGAUGCACAAGAAGUCAGCUACCUCAUGGCUCUUCAAGCUGUCUAAGCUGCCGCUGAAGUAACUUUCAACCAGACCUGGGGACCUGACAGAACACAUGGAGAAUGUGGUUGGAGUGAAGCCAGAGCAACUCAACAGGCCAUGCAUGGGGAAGGGAGCAAAUAGCCUUGUUGCGUCCAGUACCCCCAGUACUGAAGUCACUGGACUGGUCUCAUUCCCAGGUCAUUUUUCCAUGUGGAUUCAGUUCAGCCUCUAGUUUUCAGACCCUCCAGCUAGCGCUGGAAGGACAAAAAGUUAACUUCCCAUAGAAAACCAUGACUCUGUCCUCAGAAAGGCUGGAGAGCCCAAGCCUGGGACAAUUCAGCAGCCACAGGUUGAGGUACCUCAGCGAGGGACCCACACAGGAAUAAAUACUGGAGAAUCACUGCUCCUAAAACGAUCCUUUAUUUGUUGGCUGCUGGUCACAACCACUGACCUCAGAGCACUAAUAAUCCUGAAGGGCUCUAGAGGCUUUUUAGCAUGUGCAUUUUAAUGUAAUAAGCUUUGGCAUCUGAAAUGUUUUUUCCCUUCUUGGCUUCUCCUUUGGGCUUGGAAACAACAGGGUCAGCUCAGUCUUUGAGCAAAAGGAUGAAGACAACCCUCACUUUAAUGCGCAGAAUUAUAUCAUCAGCGGCCAGAGGUCACAUCCUGCUGUCUUUAUAAAGAUAACUCCAGCCCCCUCUUUUUCCCCACUCUUUUAUAAACCUGGCUCAACCCAUACCCCAUAGCAGCAGGACGACACAGAGCAACAUCUUGGAUUAGUUACGAGCUUUUCAGAUGCGCUCCAACUCAUAUUUCAUACCACUCCCCCCCCCCAGCCAUAAGAUCUGAGUUUGUCACAUUUACUGGAGACUGAAGUACAAACAUGUUUUAUUCAUUAUCUGUCCUCUUCUUCGCAACAAGCACCUGCAAAACAUUUCAGCUCUAGGCCGGAUCAACAAGGCUUCAUUAGGCAUGACACUUUCUCCCUGGCUUGGAUGAUGAAGAUACACUUUAUCCCUGCACUUCUAGUCUGUAAAACUGCCCAGAGAUCAUCACCUUAGAAGAAGGCAGACUCCCAAGACCUCAUGACUGAGGUGGAGAAAAAGGGAUUGAGGUAAUUACACAGCCCUGAUUGCUGUGAGCUGGGGGACACGGAGUUAUUUCAGCCUUGUUGCAUCACAGCUCUGCUUUAGCAGCAGCAGAAUGGAGGAGCACAGCUUUUGCAGAGUCUCAGACAGGGAGUUUGCAAGCUAUUGGGAGCACCCUCUAUUGUUAUCUUUAUUUUAAUCAGUGGUCAAUAUUAGAGAAGUGAUUCAACUCUCUUUGCCCACUGCAGCCCCAUCCUUUCCUUUUUGCCAGCUCUUCCCUCUUGGUUGAUGAAUAUUUAUUAGAUGCAAAACAGAAAAGCUUCACCAAGAGAGGCAAAAAAGCUCUUUUCCCUUCAAAAUCCAGCAGCUUGGGGUGAGCCUUGGAAAUAUGGGAGGAAUAAG